rnacentral:rRNA from 1 species
UCGCGUCUGCCGUGAAAGUCCGGGGCUUAACUCCGGAUCUGCGGUGGGUACGGGCAGACUAGAGUGCAGUAGGGGAGACUGGAAUUCCUGGUGUAGCGGUGAAAUGCGCAGAUAUCAGGAGGAACACCGAUGGCGAAGGCAGGUCUCUGGGCUGUAACUGACGCUGAGGAGCGAAAGCAUGGGGAGCGAACAGGAUUAGAUACCCUGGUAGUCCAUGCCGUAAACGUUGGGCACUAGGUGUGGGGGACAUUCCACGUUUUCCGCGCCGUAGCUAACGCAUUAAGUGCCCCGCCUGGGGAGUACGGCCGCAAGGCUAAAACUCAAAGGAAUUGACGGGGGCCCGCACAAGCGGCGGAGCAUGCGGAUUAAUUCGAUGCAACGCGAAGAACCUUACCAAGGCUUGACAUGAACCGGAAUGAUGCAGAGAUGUGUCAGCCACUUGUGGCCGGUUUACAGGUGGUGCAUGGUUGUCGUCAGCUCGUGUCGUGAGAUGUUGGGUUAAGUCCCGCAACGAGCGCAACCCUCGUUCCAUGUUGCCAGCGGGUUAUGCCGGGGACUCAUGGGAGACUGCCGGGGUCAACUCGGAGGAAGGUGGGGACGACGUCAAAUCAUCAUGCCCCUUAUGUCUUGGGCUUCACGCAUGCUACAAUGGCCGGUACAAAGGGUUGCGAUACUGUGAGGUGGAGCUAAAGAGAAAAAUCCUGGCUCAGUUCGGACUGAGGUCUGCAACUCGACCUCAUGAAGUUGGAGUCGCUAGUAAUCGCAGAUCAGCAACGCUGCGGUGAAUACGUUCCCGGGCCUUGUACACACCGCCCGUCAAGUCACGAAAGUUGGUAACACCCGAAGCCGGUGG